GAGACCCACGCCAACAGUUGCCAGCAUGUCCUCCGGGAUGGUGGGGACACUGUUGGGACCGCCUCUGCUAAAGAGGAGGAAGGAAUGGGCAACGGUAGGUCAGCAUGCCCCGAAUUAUCCGGGCUACACGCGGGCUACAGUGGUCAGGACAAUGGGUAUCGACACCGAGAGGUGAAGGCAAUCUCUUAAACCUGUCCUUAGUUCGGAUUGUGGGCUGCAACUCGCCCACAUGAAGCUGGAAUCCGUAGUAAUCGCGUCUCAAAAUGGCGCGGUGAAUAU
rnacentral:rRNA from 1 species